rnacentral:rRNA from 1 species
GGAUGACUUGUGGAUAGGGGUGAAAGGUCAAUCAAACCCGGUGAUAGCUGGUUCUCCCCGAAAUAUAUUGAGGUAUAGCCUCGGGGAUUGUCUGUCGGAGGUAAAGCACUGACAAGGCUAGGGGUCCUACCAGAUUACCAAACCUUUUCAAACUCAGAAUGCCGACAAGAUGUACCCCGGGAGUCAGACGGCGGGUGCUAAGGUCCGUCGUCGAGAGGGUAAGAGCCCAGAUCGACAGCUAAGGUCUCGAAAUCCAUGCUCAGUGGUGAAGGUGGUGGAGUUGUACAGACAGCCAGGACGUUGGCUUAGAAGCAGCCAUCGUUUAAAGAAAGCGUAAUAGCUCACUGGUCUAAUGACUCUGCGCCGAAAAUGUAACGGGGCUAAGCAUGGUACCGAAGCUUCGGAUUCCUCUUUUGAGGAGUGGUAGGGGAGCGUUCUCUAUGGGCAGAAGCUGCAUUGUAAAGUGCGGUGGACGGUAGAGAAGUGAUUAUGCUGACAUGAGUAACGAUAAAACAGGUGAAAAACCUGUUCGCCGAAAACCCAAGGUUUCCUGGGUAAAGUUAAUCUUCCCAGGGUGAGUCGGACCCUAAGGCGAGGGCGAAAGCCGUAGCUGAUGGAAAACGGGUUAAUAUUCCCGUACUUCUUAUGGUGUGCGAUGGAGGGACGCAGAAAGAUAGGUGGGCCAACUGUUGGAUGUUGGUGCAAGCUGGUAGGAAUGCCUCGCCGGCAAAUCCGCGAGGUGAAUCCGAGAAGCGAGUCCGUGGGCGCAAGCCCUGAAGCCAUUGAGUCUCCGCUGCCAAGAAAAGCUCCUAAGUUUAGCCAUGAGGACCCGUACUGCAAACCAACUCAGGUGGGUGGGAUGAAUAAUCCGAGGCGCUCGAGAGAACUCUGGCCAAGGAACUCGGCAAAAUGACCCCGUAACUUCGGAAGAAGGGGUGCUUUUUCAGGUGACCAUUUUUACAUUGGAAGCCAGAGGAAGCCGCAGUGAAUUGGUGGUGGCGACUGUUUACUAAAAACAUAGGUCUGUGCGAAGUCGCAAGACGACGUAUACGGACUGACGCCUGCCCGGUGCCGGAAGGUUAAGAGGAGAGGUCAGCGCAAGCGAAGCCUUGAAUCGAAGCCCCGGUAAACGGCGGCCGUAACUAUAACGGUCCUAAGGUAGCGAAAUUCCUUGUCGGGUAAGUUCCGACCUGCACGAAUGGCGUAACGAUCUCCACACUGUCUCGGCCAGAGACUCGGUGAAAUUGCAGUCGCGGUGAAAAUUCCGUGUACCCGCAGAAAGACGGAAAGACCCUGUGCACCUUUACUAUAGCUUGACAUUGGAUUUUGGGCCUACAUGUGUAGGAUAGGUGGGAGGCAAUGAAAUCUGUACGCCAGUAUGGAUGGAGCCACUGUUGAAAUACCACCCUUGUAUGUCUAAGGUCCUAACUCCACGCAGUGAACCUGCUGGAAGACAUUGUCUGGUGGGUAGUUUGACUGGGGCGGUCGCCUCCUAAAGAGUAACGGAGGCAUGCAAAGGUUCCCUCAGGCUGUUCGGAAACCAGCCGUUGAGUGCAAACGCAUAAGGGAGCUUGACUGCAAGAGAGACAUCUCGAGCAGGUACGAAAGUAGGCGUUAGUGAUCCGGUGGUCCCGCAUGGAAGGGCCAUCGCUCAUUGGAUAAAAGGUACGCCGGGGAUAACAGGCUGAUCGCAUCCAAGAGUUCAUAUCGACGAUGCGGUUUGGCACCUCGAUGUCGGCUCAUCACAUCCUGGGGCUGAAGCAGGUCCCAAGGGUACGGCUGUUCGCCGUUUAAAGUGGUACGCGAGCUGGGUUUAAAACGUCGUGAGACAGUUUGGUCCCUAUCUUCUGUGGGCG